GUCUGUAGGGCUCUUCUUUGUUACAGUUCAACAAACGUUGCAUUUGUGUAGUCCACGCGUCCAGAAAUAAGCGCUGAGAUUCGUCCAGUUGAUGAUAUACACCACCAUUGUCACCAGCUCUUGCCAUGAUUAAGGAACAAAGAAUUUUGCAGUAAAUUAAAAAAAAUAAAAUUCAGGACCUCACCACACUCUACUCACAUGUUUCUCUCUUUGAUGGUAGUUCACUCGUGUUUGAUGCUUUCAAUAUAGGCUUUUGUGUGAUGUUUUCACUCUUGCCUUUUACCACUCACUCCCUCUUAAGUUCCUGGAUGGACCAAAU
rnacentral:lncRNA from 1 species